rnacentral:rRNA from 1 species
AGCGUACACGGUGGAUGCCCUGGCAGUCAGAGGCGAUGAAGGACGUGCUAAUCUGCGAAAAGCGUCGGUAAGGUGAUAUGAACCGUUACAGCCGGCGAUGUCCGAAUGGGGAAACCCAGUGCAAUUCGUUGCACUAUCGUUAACUGAAUACAUAGGUUAACGAGGCGAACCGGGGGAACUGAAACAUCUAAGUACCCCGAGGAAAAGAAAUCAACCGAGAUUCCCCCAGUAGCGGCGAGCGAACGGGGAGCAGCCCAGAGUCUGAAUCAGCUUGUGUGUUAGUGGAACGGUCUGGAAAGUCCGACGGUACAGGGUGAUAGUCCCGUACACCAAAAUGCACAGGCUGUGAACUCGAAGAGUAGGGCGGGACACGUGGUAUCCUGUCUGAAUAUGGGGGGACCAUCCUCCAAGGCUAAAUACUCCUGACUGACCGAUAGUGAACCAGUACCGUGAGGGAAAGGCGAAAAGAACCCCGGCGAGGGGAGUGAAAAAGAACCUGAAACCGUGUACGUACAAGCAGUGGGAGCACCUUCGGGUGUGACUGCGUACCUUUUGUAUAAUGGGUCAGCGACUUAUAUUCUGUAGCAAGGUUAACCGUAUAGGGGAGCCGCAGGGAAACCGAGUCUUAACUGGGCGUUAAGUUGCAGGGUAUAGACCCGAAACCCGGUGAUCUAGCCAUGGGCAGGUUGAAGGUUGGGUAACACUAACUGGAGGACCGAACCGACUAAUGUUGAAAAAUUAGCGGAUGACUUGUGGCUGGGGGUGAAAGGCCAAUCAAACCGGGAGAUAGCUGGUUCUCCCCGAAAGCUAUUUAGGUAGCGCCUCGUGAACUCAUCUUCGGGGGUAGAGCACUGUUUCGGCUAGGGGGUCAUCCCGACUUACCAACCCGAUGCAAACUACGAAUACCGAAGAAUGUUAUCACGGGAGACACACGGCGGGUGCUAACGUCCGUCGUGAAGAGGGAAACAACCCAGACCGCCAGCUAAGGUCCCAAAGUCACAGUUAAGUGGGAAACGAUGUGGGAAGGCACAGACAGCCAGGAUGUUGGCUUAGAAGCAGCCAUCAUUUAAAGAAAGCGUAAUAGCUCACUGGUCGAGUCGGCCUGCGCGGAAGAUGUAACGGGGCUAAACUGUGCACCGAAGCUGCGGCAGCGACACUAUGUGUUGUUGGGUAGGGGAGCGUUCUGUAAGCCUGCGAAGGUGGCCUGUGAGGGUUGCUGGAGGUAUCAGAAGUGCGAAUGCUGACAUAAGUAACGAUAAUGCGGGUGAAAAGCCCGCACGCCGGAAGACCAAGGGUUCCUGUCCAACGUUAAUCGGGGCAGGGUGAGUCGACCCCUAAGGCGAGGCCGAAAGGCGUAGUCGAUGGGAAACAGGUUAAUAUUCCUGUACUUGGUGUUACUGCGAAGGGGGGACGGAGAAGGCUAUGUUAGCCGGGCGACGGUUGUCCCGGUUUAAGCAUGUAGGCGGAGGUUCCAGGUAAAUCCGGUACCUUUUUAACGCUGAGGUGUGAUGACGAGGCACUACGGUGCUGAAGUAACAAAUGCCCUGCUUCCAGGAAAAGCCUCUAAGCAUCAGGUAACAUUAAAUCGUACCCCAAACCGACACAGGUGGUCAGGUAGAGAAUACCAAGGCGCUUGAGAGAACUCGGGUGAAGGAACUAGGCAAAAUGGUGCCGUAACUUCGGGAGAAGGCACGCUGAUAUGUAGGUGAAGCCCCUGCGGGUGGAGCUGAAAUCAGUCGAAGAUACCAGCUGGCUGCAACUGUUUAUUAAAAACACAGCACUGUGCAAACACGAAAGUGGACGUAUACGGUGUGACGCCUGCCCGGUGCCGGAAGGUUAAUUGAUGGGGUUAUCCGUAAGGAGAAGCUCUUGAUCGAAGCCCCGGUAAACGGCGGCCGUAACUAUAACGGUCCUAAGGUAGCGAAAUUCCUUGUCGGGUAAGUUCCGACCUGCACGAAUGGCGUAAUGAUGGCCAGGCUGUCUCCACCCGAGACUCAGUGAAAUUGAACUCGCUGUGAAGAUGCAGUGUACCCGCGGCAAGACGGAAAGACCCCGUGAACCUUUACUAUAGCUUGACACUGAACAUUGAGCCUUGAUGUGUAGGAUAGGUGGGAGGCUUUGAAGCGUGGACGCCAGUCUGCGUGGAGCCAACCUUGAAAUACCACCCUUUAAUGUUUGAUGUUCUAACGUUGGCCCCUAAUCGGGGUUGCGGACAGUGUCUGGUGGGUAGUUUGACUGGGGCGGUCUCCUCCCAAAGAGUAACGGAGGAGCACGAAGGUUAGCUAAUCCUGGUCGGACAUCAGGAGGUUAGUGCAAUGGCAUAAGCUAGCUUGACUGCGAGCGUGACGGCGCGAGCAGGUGCGAAAGCAGGUCAUAGUGAUCCGGUGGUUCUGAAUGGAAGGGCCAUCGCUCAACGGAUAAAAGGUACUCCGGGGAUAACAGGCUGAUACCGCCCAAGAGUUCAUAUCGACGGCGGUGUUUGGCACCUCGAUGUCGGCUCAUCACAUCCUGGGGCUGAAGUAGGUCCCAAGGGUAUGGCUGUUCGCCAUUUAAAGUGGUACGCGAGCUGGGUUUAGAACGUCGUGAGACAGUUCGGUCCCUAUCUGCCGUGGGCGCUGGAGAAUUGAGGGGGGCUGCUCCUAGUACGAGAGGACCGGAGUGGACGCAUCACUGGUGUUCGGGUUGUCAUGCCAAUGGCAUUGCCCGGUAGCUAAAUGCGGAAGAGAUAAGUGCUGAAAGCAUCUAAGCACGAAACUUGCCCCGAGAUGAGUUCU